UAAUACCACACAUGCAUGGGCCCUGAUCGUUAGUAUGAUGUUUGCGGGGAGGCCACAAUAACAUCCCAGCCCAUGGAUUACCAUACCAUUAAAAAAAACACAUAUCCAAUAAUUUGUGGCAUCGGAGCAAAACCGCAGGUUGAAGGCACCAUUCCUUGUACAUCUGCGCGGUUUUUAUAUUGACAAACCCCAUAUCCACCGUCAAGUCACAGCUCAGUUCAGUAGCCAAGAAUUGCUUCGUGAAAAUCAUAGGUCCAGCACUUUCUGAAAUCGCAGUGGCCAUAAAAUCUAGAUUCCAUCGUACGGGGGGGGGGCUUCACGGUUGUUACGUGGAGGCAUCCCAAAUCCACCAUCAAAUCUCGCCUUCAACUAUUGGCUAUACCAUCAGGAACAUGGAUCAAGUGCUUCGUGGGGCUGCCCUGGCACAACAAUCUAUGUUCAAUUCGGAAAAACAGUUCCUCGUGGAUCGUCAUUUUGACAUGAAGACAUCUCAGAUCCAUUGCUGAAUUACCAGGCUAUCAGCUCUCAGCAUCCAAAGGAAAUGAUCCUCUGCUUUGUGGCACUGCUGUGGUACAGAAACCUAAAUGUGAAACAUGGACACACACCCUUAAAAAAAAAAAAAGGAGCCCAGGGCGGCAAACAAAAGCACUAAAAACACUUUGGAAAUGGACUACAUUCAAUUUGAUCCCGACUUAUGGUGACCUUAUGAAUAGAGUUUUCAUGUUCCCUUAACAUUUGGCGACCCAGAUGGGACUCUGAUGAGACACUAGUAGGCUGCGGUAUUCCGCCCUCCUGAAGUGGACAGACCGGUGUGGAGAGGAAGACCGAGCAUUACCAAAGGGAGCGCGCCGACCGGUAAUUUUCACCGAUCGCCUUGCAGCACGGGCGGUCUGUCUCUCUGCCGGAACCCUCCACCGGGAAAGGAGUGAGACAACAAACGGUUCCUGUGAAAGACCGGCCGGCACCGGAAUAGGGACCACCCCACCACGUCAGA